rnacentral:rRNA from 1 species
UGGGGAAUUUUGGACAAUGGGGGAAACCCUGAUCCAGCCAUCCCGCGUGUGCGAUGAAGGCCUUCGGGUUGUAAAGCACUUUUGGCAGGAAAGAAACGUCGCGGGUUAAUACCCCGCGAAACUGACGGUACCUGCAGAAUAAGCACCGGCUAACUACGUGCCAGCAGCCGCGGUAAUACGUAGGGUGCAAGCGUUAAUCGGAAUUACUGGGCGUAAAGCGUGCGCAGGCGGUUCGGAAAGAAAGAUGUGAAAUCCCAGAGCUUAACUUUGGAACUGCAUUUUUAACUACCGGGCUAGAGUGUGUCAGAGGGAGGUGGAAUUCCGCGUGUAGCAGUGAAAUGCGUAGAUAUGCGGAGGAACACCGAUGGCGAAGGCAGCCUCCUGGGAUAACACUGACGCUCAUGCACGAAAGCGUGGGGAGCAAACAGGAUUAGAUACCCUGGUAGUCCACGCCCUAAACGAUGUCAACUAGCUGUUGGGGCCUUCGGGCCUUGGUAGCGCAGCUAACGCGUGAAGUUGACCGCCUGGGGAGUACGGUCGCAAGAUUUAAAACUCAAAGGAAUU